GCCAGACUCCUACGGGAGGCAGCAGUGGGGAAUAUUGCACAAUGGGGGAAACCCUGAUGCAGCGAUGCCGCGUGGAGGAAGAAGGUUUUCGGAUUGUAAACUCCUUUUAUCAGGGACGAUAAUGACGGUACCUGAAGAAAAAGCUCCGGCUAACUACGUGCCAGCAGCCGCGGUAAUACGUAGGGAGCGAGCGUUGUCCGGAAUUACUGGGCGUAAAGGGUGUGCAGGCGGUUUUGCAAGAUGGAUGUGAAAGCCCCGGGCUUAACCUGGGAAAGCCAUACAUGACUGCAAGACUAGAGUGCGUCAGAGGGGGGUGGAAUUCCAAGUGUAGCAGUGAAAUGCGUAGAUAUUUGGAAGAACACCGAUGGCGAAGGCAGCCCCCUGGGACGCAACUGACGCUCAUACACGAAAGCGUGGGGAGCAAACAGGAUUAGAUACCCCGGUAUC
rnacentral:rRNA from 1 species